GAUGAACGCUGGCGGCGUGCCUAAUACAUGCAAGUCGAGCGAACGGACGAGAAGCUUGCUUCUCUGAUGUUAGCGGCGGACGGGUGAGUAACACGUGGAUAACCUACCUAUAAGACUGGGAUAACUUCGGGAAACCGGAGCUAAUACCGGAUGAUAUUUUGAACCGCAUGGUUCAAAAGUGAAAGACGGUCUUGCUGUCACUUAUAGAUGGAUCCGCGCUGCAUUAGCUAGUUGGUAAGGUAACGGCUUACCAAGGCAACGAUGCAUAGCCGACCUGAGAGGGUGUUCGGCCACACUGGAACUGAGACACGGUCCAGACUCCUACGGGAGGCAGCAGCAGGGAAUCUUCCGCAAUGGGCGAAAGCCUGCCGGAGCAACGCCGCGUGAGUGAUGAAGGUCUUCGGAUCGUAAAACUCUGUUAUUAGGGAAGAACAUAUGUGUAAGUAACUGUGCACAUCUUGACGGUACCUAAUCAGAAAGCCACGGCUAACUACGUG
rnacentral:rRNA from 1 species